rnacentral:rRNA from 1 species
GAAACGACGCAGCGACGCGCGUGGAUGAUGAAGGCUUCGGGUCGUAAAACCUGUCAGAAGGAAAGAAAUGUAUGGUGGUUAAUACCCAUCAUAUUUGACGUACCUUCAAAGGAAGCACCGGCUAACUCCGUGCCAGCAGCCGCGGUAAUACGGAGGGUGCAAGCGUUGUUCGGAAUUACUGGGCGUAAAGCGCGCGUAGGCGGUUUGUCAAGUCAGCUGUGAAAGUCCAUGGCUCAACCAUGGAAGUGCACUUGAAACUGACAGACUUGAGUACUGGAGGGGGUGGUGGAUUCGGUGUAGAGUGAAUCGUAGAUAUCGGGAGGACACG